AGUGAACGCUGGCGGUAGGCCUAACACAUGCAAGUCGAACGGCAGCACAGGAGAGCUUGCUCUCUGGGUGGCGAGUGGCGGCCGGGUGAGGAAUACAUCGGAAUCUACCUUUUCGUGGGGGAUAACGUAGGGAAACUUACGCUAAUACCGCAUACGACCUACGGGUGAAAGUGGGGGACCGCAAGGCCUCACGCGAUUAGAUGAGCCGAUGUCCGAUUAGCUAGUUGGCGGGGUAAUGGCCCACCAAGGCGACGAUCGGUAGCUGGUCUGAGAGGAUGAUCAGCCACACUGGCACUGAGACACGGUCCAGACUCCUACGGGAGGCAGCAGUGGGGAAUAUUGGACAAAGGGCGCAAGCCUGAUCCAGCCAUACCGCGUGGGUGAAGAAGGCCUUCGGGUUGUAAAGCCCUUUUGUUGGGAAAGAAAUCCUGUCGAUUAAUACUCGGUGGGGAUGACGGUACCCAAAGAAUAAGCACCGGCUAACUUCGUG
rnacentral:rRNA from 1 species